GUGUGAUCUGGCUGCAACACGGGUCACCUCAUCACUAGUGUUGAUUUGCCUGAUCCUGCUUGCUGCUCCCUGUGCGUCCCUCUCAAAGCUGUGCACUCAGUUGAGAAAGACAGCCUUCACCAUAUAGACAUGACAUCCAUUGGUCAAAGGAACAUGUUGUCAAGUCUGGAAGGCAUAGAUGAAAAAUACAAAGAUAAUGUUGAACAGGCUUCCAGAACAGAGACACCAACAGUUACAGAUAUGUUUUCUUUUAAUGUGU
rnacentral:snRNA from 12 species